UACGAAGGUGGCAAGCGUUGUUCGGAUUUACUGGGCGUACAGGGAGCGUAGGCGGUUGGGUAAGCCCUCCGUGAAAUCUCCGGGCCCAACCCGGAAAGUGCGGAGGGGACUGCUCGGCUAGAGGAUGGGAGAGGAGCGCGGAAUUCCCGGUGUAGCGGUGAAAUGCGUAGAGAUCGGGAGGAAAGCCGGUGGCGAAGGUGGUGCUCUGGAACAUUUCUGACGCUGAGGCUCGAAAGCGUGGGGAGCAAACAGG
rnacentral:rRNA from 1 species